GACGAACGCUGGCGGCGUGCUUAACACGUGCAAGUCGAACGGAAAGGCCCUGCUUUUGUGGUGUGCUCGAGUGGCGAACGGGGGAGUAACACGUGAGUAACCUGCCUUUGACUUUGGGAUAUCUUCAGGAAACUGGGGCUAAUACCGGAUAGGAGCUCCUGCUGCAUGGUGGGGGUUGGAUAGUUGCGGUGGUUGGGGAUGGACUCGCGGCUGAUCAGCUUGUCGGUGGGGUAGUGGCUUACCAAGGCUUUGACGGGUAGCCGGCCUGAGAGGGUGACCGGCCACAUUGGGACUGAGAUACGGCCCAGACUCAUACGGGAGGCAGCAGUGGGGAAUAUUGCACAAUGGGCGGAAGCCUGAUGCAGCAACGCCGCGUGCGGGAUGACGGCCUUCGGGUUGUAGACCGCUUUCGCCUGUGACGAAGCGUGAGUGACGGUAAUGGGUAAAGAAGCACCGGCUAACUACGUG
rnacentral:rRNA from 1 species